rnacentral:lncRNA from 1 species
AGGGGCGGUUGUCUUUGUUAGGAGCAGUAAGCAUUGUGGUUAUUAAUCCACCUGUGCUUGUUCCUGCUACCACGUCAAAAUAAUCUGCAAGUCUUGCAUUUGGUCCAUCCAGUUCCUAGUUACCACACACAUGACAAGGAUAUAAGUAGAAAGUAAUGUUUAUAUGACAUUUUGUCCCUUUUAUUCUGUUUAACUAUUGAUAUUGAAAUGUCCUGACCUCUCACAAGUUUUAAUUAAAGUGUAGUUUUGGCAUUUCUUCUUAGAAAUUAGUGAACAUCUUAUAAAAUAAAACCGAUAAUAGAAGCGCCCAAGUUAGAAAAUUUAUCUUGAACUAGUUGGGGCGCACUCGAAAAACCUUUUGAGUCAAAACUUAAAUUUUGCCUUUCUUCAGUAGUAUGGAUUCGGGUUAUUAACACUCAAAUCCAUAUCAAGACUGGAUAUAUAACAGUGGUUAGACAACAGAGUAAAAUAAUAUGCCUGAAGUUUGGAUUCAAGGAAGGCAAGAACGGUGCCAGGAAUAAUGCCUCUAAUUCCACCUCCAUCAACGCUCAAAACUGUUACCAUCUUUCCUUUGGUAGCAGCAAAAGCCAUUGGAGGUUGUAAAAUUAAUAGUAACAAAGUCAUUAAUGAUGCAGCUACAAGAGCCAUUCUCCCCAUGUUGAGUUAUCUAAUAAAACUAAUACUAACAAGCUCAUUGCUGCAGCUACAAGAGCCACUCUCCCCAUGUUGAGUUAUCUAAAUAAAAGUUUACUGUGUGUAUCUAUUAAGUGAAAGAGAGAGGGAGAAUGGUGUGUGUAUAUAUAU